GCGGGAGUAGCUCAGUUGGUAGAGCGCAACCUUGCCAAGGUUGAGGUCGACGGUUCGAGACCGUUCUCCCGCUCCA
rnacentral:tRNA from 2 species